CCUACGGGUGGCUGCAGUGGGGAAUAUUGGACAAUGGGCGAAAGCCUGAUCCAGCCAUGCCGCGUGUGUGAAGAAGGCCUUCGGGUUGUAAAGCACUUUCAGUUGGGAAGAAAGCCUUGGGGCUAAUACCCUCGAGGAAGGACAUCACCCACAGAAGAAGCACCGGCUAACUCCGUGCCAGCAGCCGCGGUAAUACGGAGGGUGCGAGCGUUAAUCGGAAUUACUGGGCGUAAAGCGCGCGUAGGCGGUCUGAUAAGCCGGUUGUGAAAGCCCCGGGCUCAACCUGGGAACGGCAUCCGGAACUGUCAGGCUAGAGUGCAGGAGAGGAAGGUAGAAUUCCCGGUGUAGCGGUGAAAUGCGUAGAGAUCGGGAGGAAUACCAGGGGCGAAGGCGGCCUUCUGGACUGACACUGACGCUGAGGUGCGAAAGCGUGGGUAGCAAACAGGAUUAGAUACCCCAGUAGU
rnacentral:rRNA from 1 species